rnacentral:rRNA from 1 species
CAGCAUAGAGAGCUUGCUCUCUGAUGGCGAGUGGCGAACGGGUGAGUAAUACAUCGGAACGUGUCCGUUUGUGGGGGACAACCACCCGAAAGGGUGGCUAAUACCGCAUAAGACCUGAGGGUGAAAGCCGGGGACCGCAAGGCCUGGCGCGAACGGAGCGGCCGAUGACUGAUUAGCUGGUUGGCGGGGUAAAGGCCCACCAAGGCGACGAUCAGUAGCUGGUCUGAGAGGACGACCAGCCACACUGGAACUGAGACACGGUCCAGACUCC